rnacentral:rRNA from 1 species
UACGAAGGGGGCUAGCGUUGCUCGGAAUUACUGGGCGUAAAGGGUGUGUAGGCGGAUACUUAAGUCGGGGGUGAAAGCCCAGGGCUCAACCCUGGAAUAGCCUUCGAUACUGGGUAUCUUGAGUUCGGGAGAGGUAAGUGGAACUCCGAGUGUAGAGGUGAAAUGCGCAGAUAUCGGGAGGAACACCAGUGGCGAAGGCGGCGCUCUGGGCCGGAACUGACGCUGAGGAGCGAAAGCGUGGGUAGCAAACAGG